AUUGAACGCUGGCGGCAGGCCUAACACAUGCAAGUCGAACGGUAACAGGAAGAAGCUUGCUUCUUUGCUGACGAGUGGCGGACGGGUGAGUAAUGUCUGGGAAACUGCCUGAUGGAGGGGGAUAACUACUGGAAACGGUAGCUAAUACCGCAUAACGUCGCAAGACCAAAAAGGGGGACCUUCGGGCCUCUUGCCAUCGGAUGUGCCCAGAUGGGAUUAGCUAGUAGGUGGGGUAACGGCUCACCUAGGCGACGAUCCCUAGCUGGUCUGAGAGGAUGACCAGCCACACUGGAACUGAGACACGGUCCAGACUCCUACGGGAGGCAGCAGUGGGGAAUAUUGCACAAUGGGCGGAAGCCUGAUGCAGCCAUGCCGCGUGUAUGAAGAAGGCCUUCGGGUUGUAAAGUACUUUCAGCGGGGAGGAAGGGAGUAAAGUUAAUACCUUUGCUCAUUGACGUUACCCGCAGAAGAAGCACCGGCUAACUCCGUG
rnacentral:rRNA from 1 species